GGUUUUUUGUUUAUAUAAAAGAUCUGGCCUGCCCAAUGAUUUUUUUAAUGGCUGCAGUAUUUUGACUGUACAAAGGUAGCAUAAUCAUUUGUCUUUUAAUUGAAGGCUGGUAUGAAUGGUUGGAUGAGAAAUAUACUUUCUUUAUUUUAUAGGGAAAAAUUAAUUUUUAAGUUAAAAAGCUUAAAUUUUAUUAUAGGACGAGAAGACCCUAUAGAACUUUAUUAUUAUUUUUUAUAUUUGUUUUGGGAUUUUAUAAGAAUAUAUUCUUAUAAUAAUUUUGUUGGGGUGAUUGAAAAAAUUAUAUAACUUUUUCUAGUUUAUUUCAUUUAUUUAUGUUUUUGAUCCUAUAUUAUGGAUAAUAAGAUCAAGUUACCUUAGGGAUAACAGCGUUAUUUUUUUGGAGAGUUCAUAUCGAUGAAAAAGUUUGCGACCUCGAUGUUGGAUUAAAAUAAGUGGCGGAUGUAGAAUGUUGUUUACUAGGUCUGUUCGACCUUUAAAUUUUUACA
rnacentral:rRNA from 1 species